rnacentral:tRNA from 1 species
GAGGUUGUAGCUCAGUGGUAGAGCACUUGCCUAGCAGGUGUGGGGCACUGGGUUCAAUCUCA